CCCUAUGGCGGGCCGUACGGGCAGUCUUCGGACUGGCCGGUUUUCCUUUUGCCCGGUAUUCCUACCCCGUACAGCCCGCCUCCCUU
rnacentral:antisense_RNA from 1 species